GACAGAGGGUGCAAACGUUGUUCGGAAUUACUGGGCGUAAAGCGCGUGUAGGCGGCUAAGUAAGUCGAGCGUGAAAUCCCACGGCUCAACCGUGGAAGUGCACUCGAAACUGCAUAGCUAGAGUCCUGGAGAGGAAGGUGGAAUGACUUGGUGUAGAGGUGAAAUUCGUAGAUAUCAAGCGGAACACCGGUGGCGAAGGCGGCCUUCUGGACAGUGACUGACGCUGAGACGGCGAAAGCGUGGGGAGCAAACGGG
rnacentral:rRNA from 1 species